rnacentral:rRNA from 1 species
CUACGGGAUGCUGCAGUGGGGAAUAUUGGACAAUGGGGGAAACCCUGAUCCAGCAAUGCCGCGUGUGUGAAGAAGGCCUGCGGGUUGUAAAGCACUUUCGGUUGGGAGGACUGCUUCUAGCACUAAUAUUGUUGGAAGUUGACGUUACCUUCAGAAGAAGCACCGGCUAACUCCGUGCCAGCAGCCGCGGUAAUACGGAGGGUGCAAGCGUUGUCCGGACUCAUUGGGCGUAAAGAGCUCGUAGGUGGAUUGAUCAGUCGGUAUUGAAAUCCCCCGACUUAAUCGGGGACCCGGUACCGAUACUGUCAAUCUUGAGUGAGGUAGAGGUAAGCGGAAUUCCUGGUGUAGCGGUGAAAUGCGUAGAUAUCAGGAGGAACACCAACGGCGAAGGCAGCUUACUGGGCCUAUACUGACACUGAGGAGCGAAAGCGUGGGGAGCGAACAGGAUUAGAUACCCUUGUAGUC